UCUAAAAAUAAUUCCCAACAUUUUUUCUUUUCCCGCUUCUCCUCUCCUUCCUCUUCUCUGGUUUCCCUAAAACCUACUCUCACCUUCCCCUCUCUGGUUUCCGGCUCCUGGUUUCUCUUCUCUUCCCCUCUCCGGUUAUCUGGGCAGGAAAUCAAUACUCACAACACACACCACACUCCCACCGCCGCAUCGCCGCAGCUGCUCCCCACCGCCGCGUCGCCGAUGUUUCCCCCCCACUACAUAAUUUGUCCUCUUCCUUCCGCGGCCGCAGCACAAAGGCGUCGCUCCUCCUUAUCUCAUAUAGGUGUCAUAGAGCUGCUAGAAACUGCAGGGAAGAGCUGAACUAAGACUCAUGAAUUCUGAGAUGCUUAAGCCAAUACGCAUUGCAUUUAGCAUUCUUGAUAAGUGUGGGUGCCUAAUACCUUGUAGGAUCUAAUGCUGUUGAAUGUGUUCAGGUAUUCAAUAAUCCGAGGGAGCGGCCUUUCACCUUUGAGGAAGAUAGAUGAAGUUCGAGAAAUGUUGGCAAACUUCAUUACCACUACGUGAUUGUCUUUGAUAUUUUCUUGUACUGAAUCUUAAAUUAUGGAUGCUAGCUAGUUUUUCAUAUGAUUGUAAUGUAAUCGACUUUUAUACUUACAAUUAUAUACUAUUUAAUUUAAUUAUCUAUAUAAUUGGAUACUUUUUAUAUGA